AACAGUACAACACCCACAAUGUCACCAACAAAUGCUACAACGGUGUGACACAACAGCACUUACCACAACACCAACAAUGAUCAUAACAAAUUCAACUACAGAUGCUACAACAGGUGUGAACACAACAGCAGUUACCACUACACCAACAACCAUCUGAACGAGUAAGUGCUUAAAAUGACAUCUUACAUUAUCUGGCAAAACAG